AGUCAAACAACGAGUCCAAGUGAAAAAUGACAUGAUAUUGUGAAAUCACCUUCUUCAGCAUUACCCAGCACCAUGCCUUGGUGGAGAGAGAGUGAAGUGGGCUUCUUCUCUGGCAUGAAGAAUGUUGGCGAACAAUGCGGCACAGAUAAUGGAACUGCCAGCCGAGCCCCUCCUGCUCCUCCC
rnacentral:lncRNA from 1 species